UACGGGGGGAGCAAGCGUUGUUCGGAUUUACUGGGCGUAAAGGGCGCGUAGGCGGUCAGCACAAGUCAGUUGUGAAAUCUCCGGGCUUAACUCGGAAAGGUCAACUGAUACUGUGCGACUAGAGUGCGGAAGGGGCAACUGGAAUUCUCGGUGUAGCGGUGAAAUGCGUAGAUAUCGAGAGGAACACCUGCGGCGAAGGCGGGUUGCUGGGCCGACACUGACGCUGAUGCGCGAAAGCCAGGGGAGGCGAAACGGG
rnacentral:rRNA from 1 species